rnacentral:rRNA from 1 species
UACGUAGGGGGCGAGCGUUGUCCGGAUUCAUUGGGCGUAAAGAGCUCGUAGGCGGUUCAGUAAGUCGGGUGUGAAAUCUCCGUGCUCAACACGGAGCGGCCACCUGAUACUGCUGUGACUCGAGUCCGGUAGGGGAGUGUGGAAUUCCCGGUGUAGCGGUGAAAUGCGUAGAUAUCGUAAGGAAGACCAGUGGCGAAGGCGGGUCUCUGGACAGUUCCUGACGCUGAGGCACGAAGGCCAGGGGAGCAAACGGG